AAAUAAUGUUAAAGAUACUUAAAAAUAGUUUGUUUUGAAAAUUGGAAAAUUUUCAGGUUGUUAAUCUUUAAGAAGAAACAUGAGGAAAUGUAUAUACUUAAUUCAUUUCCUUUUCUGACUGAAAAUAUGGAUCUGAUUUUGAAGUUUUUCUUGUCUGAAUAAAAGAUUGGCCUAUGUAAUAUGCUUAAUUUCAUUUCUUACGUUCAUUUGGAAACAACUAAUAGUUCCACUUCAGUUUAUGAUUCAAGAGAAUAUUCUGUUAAAUAUAAAAACAAAUGUUUUCAGGCACAUAAAAUCCUAGAUGAUGCCUUUGUAACAUAAUCAUAAUUCAGUGAUAUUUGAAUCUAUAGUAGAAAACCUAGAAAUGAUUAUGUUUUCUAGAAAGAUCUUUGUAACGAAAAACUUAAUGUAAUAAAUCACUGUAAUCUGAAUGUAUUUAAAGGUAAGUCAAUAAAAUAUUCAGUGUAAUAAAAUUGUACAACAUUGCACAACAUUGAUAUUUCUAUUGAAUUUUUGAGAAAGGGUUUAGAAACAGACAUAGAAUUUAAAGAGGGUUUUGAUUUUUUGUAUCAUCUGAACAAUACGGCUGUUUAUUAUUUUUCUUUGAUUUUAAAAUAAAUUUGUUGUAAAUGGUUAAGGGGAGAAGAGAGGAAUUGUCCCAGGAUCUCAUCAGUAAAAAAGGGCAGGAUAGAAUUUGUGUUUGUUGACAGAAACAAUGCUCAGCUUUUGUGAAGGGUAAACUUAUUUUUGUUUCAUAGAGUCAUUAAAUGAUUUUCAUCGUUAUCUGACACCCCUACAAUCCAAAAAUAGAUUCUCUCAUUAUGUGUGGUAGAAUAGUCUAUAAUAAGAUUGUAGGGAAAGUAACUCAUUGUCAUUAACCAUUUUGUCUGAUGUGUUUCCUCUUUUAUAAAACUGCCAGGGAGCUUGUAUAAUCCAUUUCAUUUACUGCUCUGAUAGAUAGUGCUUAAAAAUGCUUUUUUUUGUUAGGAACAGGAUAAUCAUCUGUUUUCUGUGGCAUCUCACUGUUACUAAAAUAAAAAAUGUAUGCAAUAAUGUCUUGGCAAUGGGCAUUCAUUUUCUUCAGACUGAACAGGCUUUUGUCGAAUUGGUUGAUUAUUAAAGAAAAUUUAUUAAAUAUUUGUCUAUGAGAAAGUAUUCAGCAUUUUAGAGGAAUGAAUGGUUUUCUAAAUGUUGGCAAGUUAUUCAGGUGUUACCAGACCUUCAUGGUGUUCUUAAUUUGUUGUUGUUUUUUUUUUUGUCAGUUUGCAUAAUAUUUUUAAUGCUUGUUGUUUUAGAAAUUUAUGUAAGAUUUUGGGCUGACAUUUAUAAUGGAGUAUCUGUUAUAUGAUAGUAAAUUAGUCUUUACACCAGGAUUUCAGAAAAAUGAAAACAUAUCUCAAGGGAGGAAAUUGUUCUUAUCGUAAAUUAACCCAAGAAAGUAUUACAAUGGAAGAAUAAGUAAUGAUAACAGCUAAAUAAUCUAAAAGAGCAGAUUGAGAAAAAAAUAAGGUAGGUGUAAAGUUUGACACAUCCAUGGGUACUACAAUAUCUUUUUUUUCAAAGUUCGAAAACAUGACCAAAAAUUUAUUGUAAGAAACUGAUUUCUAGCCCUUCAAGUUACAACAAAAAUAUCUUACCACAUUAUGUUUUAUGCCUAUUCCAUUUAUGUUAAAUAAAGAAUAUUUUUAGAUAAUUAAUAUAACAUUAUCAUAAAGAAAGAUAACUCUGACAUCAUGUUGGUAGUUAUCGGGUAUCAAUAAUGGAUUCUCAGUAGGUCAUUAUCAAGAUAUUUGUAUUCAUCCAAGUAUGAAUUACCUACGAGUUACUAAGGCGGACAUUUCCAUUAGCUUAAUACCAGAGAAAAAAUUAAUAGAAGGAAUUAUCACACAGUACGACAAUCUGAAAUGCAGAUGGUACUUGACACAUUUAAAUUCAAUGAAAAUUACUGGGGUUGAUUGCAAAACUGUUGUAACUUCAUCUCUAUUUAAUAUUGUUGAGAUAGUUUUACAAACAACCCUCGUUAUGUACACUGUGUAUGUUUUGUACAUGUAAAUCUGGAAAUCUUUUAAAUCAAAGGUCUGGUUAGUAUGGAUGUAAUUAUUUUGAAUCCUAGUACUAUUUCUGCAGCAGUUAUUAACUUUGUCUUCAAUGCUUCGUGUAGUUUACUAUAAAAUCAAUUUAUUUCUUGGGUAUCAAGUUUCAUGGUUUUGACCUUAACAACUAUUUCAUGGAGAUACAUAUAUGUGGAAUUGAACUUACGAAGAUGAAAUGGUAAUUUUAUUCAUUUCUUGGGAUUAAAUUUUGUGGAUGUACUCGGAAAUUUCGCAAAACCUUGUCCACCAUGAAUGUUAAUGACUUCUGUGUGUAUGAUUUUCUUUGACAAUGAUGUAGACAUUAACCUUUACCCUACUAUAUUUUUAAAAUGGACUAGUUUAUCAUUCAAUCUGAGCAGUACCAUGUAUUAUUCAAAGGGCUGUUCUGUGAAAUUUUACUGUUUGAAUAGCGAACAGUGCAGGCUGAUCUUGGUCUGCAGUGGUCGCAAAGGCAAAAUCAUUUGCCGCCAGCAGGAUAAAGGUUAAUGCUUUGUUACUGUUUUCCAGAGAUAUUAUUCUAGACUUAAAAUGGGUAAGAAUGUCUCCACAAAAUUAAUGUGGGGGAAAUAUGGAUUUUGUGCCGUCUGUCUGUCCAUCUGUCACAAAUGUUUGUUCUAGACUACUUCUUUGGAAAGAUUUAAACCAAAUUUUGUUGAAAGGUUCAGUACCAAGUAAGGUUUCAGAUGUUAGCAGCAUUUUAUGGUUGAUUUUAUUUUGACAGAGUUAUGGCCCUUUCAGAUUAAUAUUUGAUAAAGUUUGUCUGGACUGUUUUUUCUGUACUACUUUAUCAAGAAUGCUUUUCUUUCUUAACCAGUCUUAAUCAUAUUUAUAAUCUAUUUAACAGAAUGUGUAUGCCAAUGUGGUCUCUUUCAAGUUCAAUUAAGGGCCAGAUUAGAUAAGUAGAUUGAGAGUUACAUGCCCUUGAAUUGUCAAGAAAAGUGCCAUAUUUCUAUAUUUACACUCCAGUGCCUUCAUUUUGGAACACAUCCUGAUCAUAUUUAUACUGAAUAUUAGCCCUUAUCAUGCUGGACACGACUGAUGCUGCCUUUUGCGACCAGUGUAGAUCAUGAUCAACACUGUUCGCCAUUCAGUCAGUAUCUUUUUGGUGAGCACCCCUUUUAACAGUUAAUGGUACUGUCCAAAUUGAAAGAUGGACAAGUUCAUUAUAGAAAUUUAGUAGGGCAAGGGUUAAAGUCAAAGUGAAGUGGUCAGGGUAUUGAUUGCGGAGUUAUUUAGUCUUGAUUCAGUAAUAAUUCUGUGUUACAUUUAUAUUCAGUUUGACAUUGCAUUAAGUGCAUUGGUACUGAGGUGAAAGAUAAAGGGUCAUCAAAUCUCUGUUUUUACUUUCGUGAAUUAGUUAUGGUUGCACACAGUAUGCUGUUUACUUUUAAUGAUUUCCCAUCUUGUUUUCCCUCAUAAUGCCAGAUUCUGAUGUCUAAAUGAAGGGGUAAUGGGAGACAUGCUUUUUUUCAAUAACAGCCUCUUGUUUUACUUACAGUUUGAUUGUCUUAUUGCCUCUGAAUGUAAAAUUGGGUCUCUCGCUUUUUACUUAAUUUUAUGUAUCAAUUUGCAGAGUUAUGAUUGGUAAUAUUUAAUAUUUACUCAGAUUUAACACCAAGAAUACCAGCUUACCUCAGAAUUUCUGGAUUGUACCUCAAAAUGUUGUACCAGGUUUUACACAGAUUUUCAUAUAUUAUAAUAAUAGAAGUUUUUAUAACUGUUUGGUUCAGAUUUUCGGUAACAAGGUUUUGCAUUUAUUUCGCUUUUAACCCUUUGCCUGCUGGCAGCAGUAAUUCUGCCUUUGCGACCAGUGCAGACCAAGAUCAGCCUGCACAUCCGUGCAGUCUGAUCAUGGUCUGCAUUGUUCGCUAUUCAGUCAGUAAAUUUUCAGUGAACACCCCUUCAAAUAAUAAAUGGUAAUGCCCAAAUUGAAUGAUGGACCAGUCCAUUUAGGAAAUUUAGCAGGCUAAGGGUUAAUACAUCAAUGCAGUUAAAAUCAAACAUCUUUUUAAAAAAAAGGACUCUGAAGGUGGUAAUACAGGAAGAUUUUCUGUUUUCCUGGGUUUUAUACAGAAUGUUUACUUUUGCUAAGUCUGGCGCAUAUUGAAUAAAGUACAGAGUGCACAUUACUAAAUGCAUUAUGCAUAAAACUUUGAAGAUAUUAUUACAUACUUCUUUCUAUUCCCCGUUAAGUUACACUGGUACCGGAAACGUCAAUAUUUUUCCAUACACUGACACCUGAAUUUCAUAUCGGGUGCGUUACGUAAUUCAGUGUGUGUUGUUGCACUAUUUUUUCUAUUUAGUUCAGUAUUGUCAAUCCUAUUCAGGCUAUUGAUCAUAUUUAUGAUAUCUGCAUAAUAUUUAUGCGUGUAGAUGCGUAUGUAAUAAAAAGGUUAUUAUCUUUGCAUCGGGAAAUAUGCACUCGUUCUUCAGCGGAAGAAUAUUGCGCUCCUAAAGUCGCGCAAUAUUUCCACUGAAGAACUCGUGCAUAUUUCCCGAUACAAAGCUAAUAACCUAUUAUUAUUUCACAAUUUUUAUUUUUUUUUUCUGUUUGCACCAAACAUUUUGAAAAAACAAUUAGAGACUGUAGUAGGAAAUCACGUAAGAAAAUGAUUGGUCACAGAAAUACUUUUUAUCCAGAAACAAUGAGGUUGUUACCAGUUUUACCAGCUACAUAUCAUUUUUUCUCAAUAAAACAACCCACAGUGCAAACAAUGUGUGAAAAUUUAGCCACAUUUCAACAGAAAUGGUGGAUUUAACAAUAAACUUGGGUCAUGAUUUCAGCCGACCAAUCAGAUGUCUCGUAACAAAACAAGUUGGAAUUAUUAAAAAGGAACUCUUAAAACUUGUUAAAAAUCACUGUAGAAUUCGCAUGUUCAAAUUUCCAAAUAAUCUUUUUACCACCUGCAGAGACCUAUAGAAUGAAGUAGCUUACAUGUAUAUCUCGGUCAUGCAUAAUACAGAAGAAAUAUAUAAAAAACCUUGUUACAGACUUUAGGGAUCAACCAUUAAAUGAGCCAUGCCAUGAGAAAACCAACAUAGUGGGUUUGCGACCAGCACAGAUGCGCAGGCUGGUCUGGAUCCAUGCUGGUCGCAAACCCACUGUUGGUUUUCACAUGGCGCGGCUCAUUAAUAUAUUUUACUAGAUAUAAAUUUUGAUUUUUUUUUUUUCAUUUAGAAGACAGCUUUAUCUAAUUAUAUAGGAUAGUUUCACAUGUUUUCACAAUAUUUUCAUGGCUGGUUCAUUCGAAAUCAUGGUAAAGAGAAAGGCUCCAUUUCCAUACAUGUAAUUCAAUAAAAUUUGCCAUACCAACAUAAUAUAGAGAAACCAGACAUUGGGGUUAGAAUAUAUUAUAAAUGUCAAAUUUACAUAACUCGGCUUUAAAACUAUCUAGAGGACAGUGUCCUAUAUUAUAAUAAGUGAUAUUUGUUAAUUUCCUAACUUAAGAACUUGUAUUAUAGUACAAAAAAUAUGAUAUUGUUACCAUUUCAGGGCUUUUGAUAGGUAAUAUUUGAAAUGGAUUCCUGCUUCGCAUUAAAAUUAUUACUGUAACAGUAAGUGAUAAUUAGGAUGUCAUUUUAUCAUUUAGUUUAGUUAGUACUGCCUAUGUUGUCAUUUUAUUUCAGGAAACAAAGGUUUUAUUGUUUUGUAUUCUUUUUUUUUUUUAAUCAAAAUAAUUGUACAAUCAGUUAGUAGUUACAUUUUUUGCUUUUGUUUUUGUUGUUAAGUUUGUUUGUGCAUGAUCACAGACAUAUUUUUUAGAUUAUAGGACUUUUUUUAAUUGUAUAAGGUAGCCCUCUCCAUUGGCCAUAAAAAUCAUCGGAGCUUCGAUAAAGUGUUUGUUAUCCAUUUUGAACAGUCUUUUGUCACAUGAUGUAAUCAUAAAGUACUUGUCCAAAGAAAAAGAUAAAGAACAGGCAUCCAGGAGAGUUUUUUUUUUUUUUUUAAUAUUGAUGCUCUGUCGUGCUACAUUAAAUAUGUACUUUGAUUUUCUAUUUUAAAAAAAACAAUAGUACAUAAAUAGAAAUGAAUAUUAUCUACCCUGCUAAAUAAACUCUCACUUUUGUCAUUGAACAUUGUGGGUAUAUGAUAAAACUGUUAAGUCUAGAUGUAGAUGUAGAUCUGUUGAUCUGCCUGAAAGUAACAUUGACCAAGGAGUAUGUCCCCGACCUGCUUGAAAGUAGUACUGACUGCGGACUUUGUCCCCUACUUGUAUGAAAGUAGUACUGACCGAGGAUAAUGUUUCCUACCUGCCUGUAAUGUAAGAUCAACAGUGGAUAAUUCCUAGAUUGAUAGUACUUUAAGGUAGGUCAACAGAAGUGUAUAUUGACCUCAGAUUAAGUCUGAUUGAACAGAUUUAAACAAGGUGAAUAUGUUAAUAUACUGACACAUAAUGUUUUUUGUUAUAAUUUUUUUGUUAUUUAAACAGGGUGUAUUUAGGAGUUUCACUAUUUUCCAGCUGUACUUAUUGUAUAAAUGAGCCAUGCCAUGAGAAAACUAACAUAGUGCAUUUGCGACCAGCAUGGAUCCAGACCAGCCUGCACAUCCGUGCCAUCUGGUCAGGAUCCAUCAUGCUGUUUGCUAAUGGUUUCUCUUAUUGCAAUAGGCUUUGAAAGUGAACAGUAUGGCUCCUGACCAGACUGCGUGGAUGUGCAGGCUGGUCUGGAUCCAUGCUGGUCGUAAACGCACUAUGUUGGUUUUCUCAUGGCGUGGCUCAAAUGUGUUUUUUUUUUUUUUUUUUUUUUUUUUUUUUUUUUUUACAAAAAACUGUACAAGGUGGGCAUUGAUGGCCCAAUCCAUUGUACUGGUAAUAACCAAGUGUGCUAAAUUGUCUUUUUUGACAGAAAUUUGUUAUUGUUGUUAACUUUCCUUUUUAUUUGGGUCUUCAGACAUAUAGAAAUGUUUCUUUUUCAUUUAUUAUAUUUACACAGGCACAUUUUGUCACCUUUAUUGUAAGAUCUUGUACAUUUUUGUAUGUACUUUGAUAUGACAAGUUGAUCAAUAAAGGCACUAUGCUUAUUAUAUUACAUGUAUUUAUUAUAUUAUCUUGUGACACACAGUGUAUGCGUCUUUUCCACAUUGCGAACCGCAGUUAUGGAUCUUUAAUUGAUGGGGUUUUUACUUAAUCUUUUCUGCACAUUCUUUAACAACUUCCUCUUGAAAUAUGUUGUAAAUGUAUGUCUUUAAGUUUAAAUAUAGGUCAUCAGGUGUAAAUACAGACCAACUGGUAUAAAUAUUGCUCCUCAGCCUUGGCAGGUACCAGUGCAGGCCAUCAGGUAUGAUUAUUACAGAAUUCCUGAUACAAAUUUGUGCAAUUGAUUGGUGUAUAGUUCAACACUAAAUUUUGAUGGGCUAAAGGCAAAGCUUGAAGAAAACAGUUAUUAAACUUUAUUUCUGACAUCGUAAUAUAAAACAUAUAGUUUUUACCAUUCAGUAAGUGUAUAAUAUAGGUCAUCAGGCAUAUAAUAUAUAGGUUAUUGAAUGAUGUCUUCAUAUUGUUUUCAAACUUUUGUUUGUUCCAGAUAGGAGUAUAUACAAACGAUUUAUUCUUCUUCAUUAAUACGUUUGGAAGAGACGACAUUUUAUUGACCAGAUCGGAUAUCAUUUCUAACAAAAAUGGAUGUUGUCAUGAUAAGGAUCUAUAAAUAGUAACACAUCGUAGUGCUGAACAAAAAUCUUACACUGAAUGGAGUGAACAUAUUUAGCAUUACUAUAUAUAUAUAAGAAUGACAAGGUCGCCAUAAUUUAGGGAAUCUUUGCAAGUGUCGUUUAGAAAUCUUUCCUUGUCUUUGGUCAUAUGCAUUUCAUAAACAAACUGGAAGAAAAGGCUGGUAAAAACAAUGGCUCAUGUUUAUAGUAUUUCCUGUUUGGAGCAAGGUUCUUCCUGUGUGGCAUUAUUUCAGGUACUUCCUGUAUAGCAUAUUUUAAGUACUUCCUGUAUGGUGUAAGUGUACAUUAUUAUAAGUAAUGUAUGUUACCUGGUUACUGACUGUGUGUCCAGCCCAAGGUGUACUCUGUCUUGUCUUCUCUUGUUUUAUGUCCCUUCUCUCAGUCACACUAUUUCACUGUUUCUAAAACGUUUCAUUGUUCAUCCAUGUCAUGUCCUUUGUUCUCUCUAGUCAGUGUCUUUCUAGUUGUUUAUCUUUUAUUGAUUUUUUUAUAAUUCCCCAUACUUUUUAACCUUUACUCUGCUAAAUUUCUAAAAUGGACUGGUCCAUAAUUCAAUUUUGGCCUCCACAUAUUAUUCAAGAGGUGUUCACUGAAAAUUUACUGACUGAAAUGCAACCAGUGCAGACCAUGAUCAGCCUGCAUAUUGUCGUCUGCACUGGUCACAAAGGCAGAAUCACUUGACACCAGCAGGCUAAAGGUUAAGUGUCAUAGAAAAAUUUCAUCAGUUGUAGAACAGCAUAUUUUGUUACUUGCUUCUAAAUGUUAACUUCUGAACUAGUUUUUAUGGUACAACUUUGACAGAAUUCUUUGAAUUGAUACAGUGUCCUUCGUUCAAAAUCAUUCGGGCAUCACAGGGAGCUAAAAAAUAAUACUUUUUUUUUUUAUCUCUUGAAGGUUUUUGUUUGAAAAAGGUUGCUACACAUUUAAUGUGCUAGAGGUAGUUGAUGAAUAUACACUCGGUCUUUAUUCUGCUUUGACAUCUAUUUAAUAUAACACUCGGUCUGUAUCCUGCUUAGUGUUGUUUUUAUAUUGACCUUUGAGGUUCUAGAAUGCAAUGGAAAACAGGUGUUGUUGAAUGGUUGUAAUGUUAUAUGUUGCACUGUAAGCACAUAUUUUAACUGUUUAAGCACAUAUUUUAACUGUUUAAGCACAUAUUUUAUCUGCAGCACAGAUAUAAUCAUGAAAAUAUUAAUAUAUAUGUACAGACUAAAAUAGUUAUUUAUAAUUGCAGGUUUCAUAUUCAUGACUCAGGGAUGCAUGAAGUAAAAUAAUCCUUGAAGAUCGUUCAUAUCUCUUGGAACUUCACUUUUUUACAUUAAAACAGUUAUUAAAGCGGCAUGCCUCCAGAUCGUUCGACAACAAAAAAAAUAAAUUUUUUUUUAGAUUUCUUGAAAUAAAUGCUAUAUUUCUUAAGAAGGCUUUAAAACUUAAUUACUGACAAACUUUAUGUUACGGAAACACAUGAGAAUUUGCUGUUUUUACUACUUUUAACGAUGAAAAUCGAAAAGCGUUUGUCACGCUUUUACUCCAGGUAAACUGUCUCAAUUAUAAAUAUCUAUAUUUUGAAGUCAUUAUUCACUAUUUCAUCUAUAGCGCUAUUGGUUACGACGACGGGAAAAUGUAUUUAUUGCUGCGGCGGUCUGGGGUUCAAUUCCUGACGCGGUCAUCUUUUUUUCUUGAUUUGGAACUCUUAAAAUAUUUGAGAAACAAAAAUUCAAAUUCUUCAUAAUAUGACCAAAUUUCAAUUUGAAAGAAAGGUUAUUUUUUAGCCAAAUCUGGAGGCAUGCUGAUUUUUUCCAUAUAGGUUUCUUAGACAAUAUGAUAAAUGGCUGAUAUAUAAUAUCUGUUUUAUACUAAAUUAUAAAAUACUGUGUUCUGUCAGUGGAAUUAGUGAAGUAUAAUCCUCAUCAUUUUCUACAUAUCACUCACUGUCCUACAGCUUUGUCCUUGUACAUUGUGUACAAAUUUCUGAUUUUUUACAUACAAAGAGAUAAAAAACUGUAGUCACGUUUUUUUAUGUAUAAUUCUCAAUUCAAAUAUCUACUUAACAAAAAUUACAGAAUGGUAUGCUGAUUAAAAUAAAAUGGAAUGGAAUUUAAUGUCACAUGUGUCUUUUUUAAUAUCACAAGAUGUCUAAUGUCAUCUCCAUUUAACGUCAUCUUUCUUUACAUGAAUCUGAUUUUCAUGCAGAGAUUUAAAGUUCAUUCUAAAAUGCUUAGAUCAAGGUAUUAAACAUUAAGUAAAAAGAACUUUUUUGUUUUUUCAUGAAUAUAGAAUAUCGAGGGCCGAGCGCGAAACUAUUGUAUCUUGUUCUUUAUUUAUAUACAGUUACAAUAGUUUCGCGCUCAGCCCACGAUAUAUAAAUAAGAAAAUGUUCACAUUUUCACUCCCUUUGCUCAGGUGAAAAUAGUUGAAAUAUUUCCACCUGUCAUUGUCCUGUUUUAAUGUAGGAAAGUGAGACUUCUUUUUAUCAUUAUAAAGCAGGGAUUCCAGUUUUAGUUUAUACUUUAAAGAUCUUUUAUAUUUAAUGAUAUAUCUUUUUUUUUUUUUAGCUUCUGGUGAACUCACUCGUCAAAAUUUGACACAGUACAAUCAUUUUAAUUUAUUCAGUUCUUUUUGGACCAGGUACUUGACAUGGAGUUAUGUUUAACUCUGUAAUAAAUGUUAACUUAGAAUAUCAUUUUACAGAGUAUAAUAAUAUAUUGUGCAGUUUUAUUGUUUUAACAAGGUGUGGAUAUUUUCAUUCUGCCUUAAAAACUGUUGAAUGUAUAUAAAAGAUGGUGUCUCUCGAAUGAUCAAACUGAACAGUUCUUAGAGCUGUUGACCAAUUUAUGUAAUGUAUAUACAUAUGUUAACUCUUGUCAGGGGUAAAGCUAUGCCAUGUAAAGGCAAUAAAAUUGUACAAUUUUUGUUUUUAAAUGUGCAGUUUUAAGGAUUUUUUCCAUCAUUCGGUCUGAAGUUGAGACCAGUGUAUUAUCAUGCCUAUCUGAUACCUAAUGCAUUCGGAAAAACUUGUCAUAUUUGUCCCUGUGUAUGUAUAUUUUAUAGCGGCAGAUAUGAAUUACUGUUAAAUCUAGCUGUACUAUUUUGAAAACAUAUGGACAACAGUUUCAUGUUUUGCUCAGAAUAACCUAUGUAACUGAUGGAAUAUUUUUGUACCUGGAAUAUGAUGUGAAUAUUUUUCUCAUAAACAUGUAUGUAUUAUAUAGAAACCGGUGCAGUUCUGCCGUUAAACCAUUUCAGUAAAACUAUUGUGGCUAAAAUAAGUUAUGUGUAUGUACAAGGCCUUUUUAGAUAAAAAAAAUGCUUGUGUACAUUUUUCACUUUAUGAAUAUGUAGAAUUAAGAAAAUUUGAUGUACAUUUUUUUACACCUUCAGCUUAAUGUGAGAAGAGGCUAUGUUUUAAAACAUUGGAAAUUUGAAUAUUUGUGAGUCAUCACAUGAAAUGGUGCCAUCUUGUUGAUAAACACUUUGUUCUUAGUGCAACACGUUUACUAAUAUCUUCAAAUUCAUUUGCAUUUUUGCAUGCAACUUACACACUGUGUUUUAAUUAAGUUUUAGCACACAUGAAGACAUCUAAUUUUAAGUAUCUUUUCAAGGUAUAAAAUUUAUUAAACAUUUUUAGCUCGACUAUACGAAGUAUGGAGAGCUAUCCUACUCGACCCGGCGUCGGCGUCCUUCUGUGUCCGCACUUCGGUUAAAGUUUUGAUGCACUUUCUCAUUAUCUUUGUUAUUACUUGAUGGAUUUGCUUCAAACUUAAAAUAGUUGUUCCUUAUCAUCACCCAUAUCAUAUGGCACAAGGGUCUCUUGCAUCAAUAUUUCAUGAAUUAUCCCCCUUUUUACUUAGAAUUUCAGGUCAAAGUUUUGGUGCACUUUCACUUUAUCUCAGUUAUUACUUAAAGGAUUUGAUUCAAACUUGAAAUAGUUGUUCCACAUCAUCACCCACAUCAUAUAACACAAGGUGCAUAACUCUGGCACCAAUUUUUCAUGAAUUAUGCCCCCUUUUUACUUAGAAUUUUUGGUCAAAGUUUUGGUGCACUUUCACUUUAUUUCAGUGAUUACUUAAUGGUUUUGAUUCAAACUUAAAAUAGUUGUUCCACAUCAUCACCCAACUCAUAUGAUAGAAGGUGCAUAACUCUGGCAUCAAUUUUUCAUCAAUUAUGCCCCCUUGUUACUUAGAAUUUUAUGUUAUUUUUGGAUUCAUUUUCAUUGUAUCUGUGUUAUUUCACAAGGAAUUUGAUUCAAACAAAAUAAUUGUUCAUCAUCACUACCUGCAUCUUUUGACACAAGGGGCAUAACUGUGACACCUGUAUUUUAGGAUUUACCCCCUUUUUGUCUUUAAAAUUUCAGGUCAAAGUGUUGAUGCAUUUUCACUUUAUCUUUGUUAUUACUUGAUGGAUUUGCUUCAAAUGGCUAAAGGGUCAUAACUCUGGCACCAAUAUUUCAUGAAUUGUCCCCUCCUUAUACUUGGAUUUUCAGGUUAAUUUGGUGCACUUUCACUAAAUAUCUGACUUAUUACUAAAUGGAUUUGAUUCAAACUUAAAAGAGUUGUUCUACCUUACCACCCACAUCAUAUGACACAAGGUGCAUAACUCUGGACCAAUAUUUCAUGAAUUGUUCCCCCUUUUACUUAGAAUCUUAUGUAAAUUUUGAUGCAUUUUCACUAUAUCUCAGUUAUUAGGAAAUGGAUUUAAUUUAGACUUGGUCAGACUUGACGUAGUUGUUCCACAUCAUGACACAAGGUGCAUAACUCUUGCACAAAUAUUACCUGAAUUAUUCCCCCUUUUUGCUUAGAAUUAUACUUUCAUGGUAUUUUGAUACACUUUAUCUUUACCUCUCUUAUUACUUAAUAUUUUGACACAGACUCAAGCUAUUGUGCAAUAUCUUCAUCCACCAUUGGAGUCAUUAAACACUCCAGUGACAGCUCCAGUUUCCUCAAAUGUGCCCAGUUUCGCUAUCCAGCAUGGAAAUAGUCGAGCGCACUGUCUCCUGUGACAGCUCUUGUAUUUCCUCUAGUGUUGUUUCUGCCUGCACAAGCACUGAAAAUUAAAGAGAGAGGUCAUUUUCAUGUUUUGACUCAUACAGGUUAAAUUAUAAUUAUGACAAACUAAGCAGAUACGGCCAACUUGUGUUGACUUCAGUUUUAUGUUUAGUAUGAUUGUUUUUGAUGAAUAUGUUCCCAAUUGUAGUAGGAAUUUAUAUUGACUUUAUCAUCUCAUACUUUGUUCUCUAUGUGACAGUGCAGGAAUUAAUAAAUCAAUUCCUAGAAACAUA